rnacentral:rRNA from 1 species
CCCCGACCUGAUUCGGUGGGCACCGCCGGGGAACGGGGACACAGGUGUGCAUGGCUGUCGUCAGCUCGUGCCGUAGGUGUUGGGUUAAGUCCCGCAACGAGCGCAACCCGCAUUAGUUGCCACCGGUUAGCGGGCACUCUAAGACCUGCCGGUACAACCGGAGGAAGGUGGGGAGCGUCAAGUCAUCAUGGCCCUUAUGGCUAGGGCUCACACGUCUACAAUGGCGGGUACAAAGGGUGAAGCCCCGAGGGGACCAAUCCCAAAACGCAUCGUAGUCCGGAUGGCAGUCCACUCGCUCAUGAAGUCGGAAUCCUAGUAAUCGCGAUCAGCAU